ACAGCUCCUAAGAAUUCUCUCACCUGCCUUCUGCCCUUAAGCUCCGGUAGAUUGCAAAUAACCUGCUUUCUUUCUGUUCCCGAGCUGCGUUCGGACCCAUGUCUUAUUGUAAAUCCCACGCAAGCUGCGUUCGGACCCGUCUGAUCGUAAAUCCCAUGUAAGGUACCUGCCGUCGGAAGAUUUGAACGUUCUACUUGGACACCUAAAACCCACAGUCCUCCAGGGUAGGAGUUCAUUCGAAUAAAGUUCACUUAAGACACACUUAUCUACAAACAGUCUUCAGAGAGGUGAUCGGAUGGAAGAUAUUAACAUGAUUCUGGAGUCUGCUAGGAGCUGCUCUGACUGGUGGCUACUGAGAUACCAGUGACGGGAAGGUGCUACAUCGUUAACAACAGUGCCUUUCAAAAAUGAUGAACUAUAAUCUACUGGGCUAACAGUGAACCCCUGAAAAAUACAUGUGACUGCAGGCUGGAGACUGUGGAUAAGGCUGCCAUGAGGUCCUGGGAAAUGUCUGUUAGAGUGCCAGGAGCAGCUGUGUUUCAGUGAACACUUCAGAAUACCAAUGGGGAAAAAAACACAAGGACAAACCCUACUGUGAAGCAGUGGAGACUGGAGUCCUGCAUUUGCUGAACUUUCUUUUUAUGUGUUGGAUUCUGAUUUUAUAUUCAUUUCCAUUCAUGUGGACUCUGAAGAGUUAAACUCACCAAGGACACUUGAAGAAGUCACGUCCAGGGAUCACUGUCAUCACAAAUGGAGAAAAGGCCAAUGUCUUUCCAUGCUGCCUCACCAGAAAAGGACUGAGUUGGUACAGACCUUCACUCCAGCUUACUGUCCAUGACCUCGUCACACUCCAGGCCCAGGCUUGAGCUACAUGUUCUAGAAAGCCCCUAACUUCUCUAGGUCUCAAGUCUAAUCUCUGCAUCUGUGCCAGGUUCCCUGAGACUACUCUAAAGCUUGAUGAUUCAC
rnacentral:lncRNA from 1 species